ACAAAGGUUUUUAAAGUCGUACGGAUGCGCUCACUUCAUACGGACGCACUCACUUCAUAAUCCGAGAAAUCACAAAAUCCAGAACUUAACAAAGUUAAGUCUGAAAAUUAUUUAAUCCUACCAAAAAUAAGCUAACUUAAGAUCGGAACAUAAAAAAAGAAACUAAUCCAAUUAGAAAUCGGAAGACAAAAAAAAAAAAAAAACAGAUAUGGCUUUAUCUCUCUGGAAGAUACGAGAGAGUUAAAAGAGAGAAAGCCUAGAGAAUUUUAACUUCAUGUAGUUAUUAACGUAGUUUUUAACGUAUACGUAUAAAACAUUCGAAUUUCUAAAUACA
rnacentral:lncRNA from 1 species